CUGGAGAACUGCCUCCUUCUAGAGUUCUUCAGGUUUAAGGACACAGGAGCCUCUUACACGGGGGCCCUUCUCUCCUUAAAGGGACAGGGAGACUUAGAGAGGAGUCAGUGUGCAAUGAGCUUGCACAUGGAAACCAAGAGCUGAGGACACUUGAGGACAGAAUGUGUGAUACAGAGCCAAGCUUGGGAGGCUGAGGGAGCUGUGGAUGGUCCUGGCUGGUCAUGGUCCUGGAAUGUCAGGCAAAAUAAUUUCCCUUUCAUCUCACAGGGCAUGGGGAGCGGUUUUCACAAGUACAUGAAGGCCUGAAGGGAGCAGCAGAGGGGUCCCUGGGAGGAUGGGUCAGAGUGGUGGCAAUGACCUUUGCUGGGGGGACUGGCAGAGAGAAAACGUAUCCUUUGAGUCAUCGAAUCCGCAGUCAGAAAAGUCCAAUGAGAAACUUCGGGAACCACUGAAGUGCACGUGUGAAAUUGGCAGCUUCCAUCACCCGAGGCCAGGAGCAGGAGGCCAGCCCACCCUGGCAGGCAAGGACAGGCUGGGGAAGUGGGGGAGGAUGCUAAGGAGAGAAGCUGAAGAGAGGCAGCUGAGCCACAAUGGGACUGACAGCCUCAUUUGGAGGAGAGCGCACUAUGUUUAACUGGACAUAGCAGAGAGAGACGGCAUUGACAGACUGAAGACAUUCCCACCCAAGUCUAGCUUGAUGAAGCAUUGAGUUUUGGGGGGCUACUUACAGAAUGAUGGAUGGUUGGGAGCUUACUCACAGGAGAACGGGCAGCUGACAGGCAGCCUCCUUCUCUCAGACACUCCGACUAUUUUUAUAUCCUCUGAUGAGGCCAGGAACCUUCCCCUCCUCUACAAAAGACUGUUAGAGGACCCAAUCUCAUGGUGGACUCAUGUGGGCAAUCACAGAUGCUCAAAUCUCAAGGCAGCCUCGGUCAUGGCACUCCCAGAGGACACAGUUCUACAUCAACCACCUGGUUGUGGGUGGUCCUCCUAAUUUUCAUCCAACUAUAGGUUGAAAAUAUUAAAUGGAAACUUCUAGAAACAAACAGUCCCAAAGUUUUAGAUAACUUUUUGCACUCUAUCAUAACAUUUCUGUUCUAUUUUAGUUAUUGCUAAUGUCUCGCCAGGUCUAACUUAUAAAUUUAAUCUUAUUGUAAGCGUGCAAGCCAUAGAAAAAAAUGUAG